GAAGUUGUUCAAAAUUCUCUUAUUGCUUUCUAUAAUUUGUCUUCUCCUAACCUCAGCCGUCUCUAAAGGCGGCGGCGGAAGGGGAGGCGGCGGCGGAAGAUCUAGUCGAGGCUCAAAAAACAGAGGCCGUCGCGGCGGCGCUGGGUGGCGGCCGAUACCUUACGGUGGUCAUCCGGCGAGUAGCAGUGCAUCUAAUUCAUUAGGAAAUUUGGAAAUAUAUAUCUAAAGAUAUUCACAACAAUCUUUUUGAUUAAGCGGCGAUUAAAGGCGGCAUAGGAGGAGGAGGACGCGG
rnacentral:misc_RNA from 1 species